rnacentral:rRNA from 1 species
UGGGGAAUCUUGGACAAUGGGGGCAACCCUGAUCCAGCCAUGCCGCGUGAGUGAUGAAGGCCUUAGGGUCGUAAAGCUCUUUCGCCUGUGAAGAUAAUGACGGUAGCAGGUAAAGAAACCCCGGCUAACUCCGUGCCAGCAGCCGCGGUAAUACGGAGGGGGUUAGCGUUGUUCGGAAUUACUGGGCGUAAAGCGCACGUAGGCGGACCAGAAAGUUGGGGGUGAAAUCCCGGGGGCUCAACCCCGGAACUGCCUCCAAAACUAUUGGUCUAGAGUUCGAGAGAGGUGAGUGGAAUUCCAAGUGUAGAGGUGAAAUUCGUAGAUAUUUGGAGGAACACCAGUGGCGAAGGCGGCUCACUGGCUCGAUACUGACGCUGAGGUGCGAAAGUGUGGGGAGCAAACAGGAUUAGAUACCCUGGUAGUCCACACCGUAAAACGAUGAAUGCCAGUCGUCGGGUAGCAUGCUAUUCGGUGACACACCUAACGGAUUAAGCAUUCCGCCUGGGGAGUACGGUCGCAAGAUUAAAA